GCAAGUCGAGCGAGAAGUUUAUGAUUGAUCCUUCGGGUGAAAGAAUAAGUGGAAGCGGCGGACGGGUGAGUAACGCGUGGGUAACCUGACCCAUACAAAGGGAUAGCCACUGGUAACGGUGCUUAAUACUAUAUAAUAUCAAGCGAUCGCAUGAUUGCUUGGUCAAAGAUUUAUCGGUAAGGGAUGGGCCCGCGUCGUAUUAGCUAGUUGGUGAGGUAAUGGCUUACCAAGGCGACGAUGAGUAGCCGACCUGAGAGGGUGAUC
rnacentral:rRNA from 1 species